UUGGUGUUGUGGGGCCAUGUUGGAUCCUUCUGCCGGGGGAUCGCGCCAGGUGUUGCCCGGAGUUGAACAGUCUGGGAAGUCUGACCGUAGAGCGUGAGAGUCGUGUAAACGGACCGGUUGCUUCUGGUGUGGGUGUGGUGCCCGAGUAGCGCGGGACUCGUGAAAUCUCGUGUGAAUCUGCCAAGACCACUUGGUAAGCCUAAAUACUACUUGAUGACCGAUAGUGCAUAGUACCGUGAGGGAAUGGUGAAAAGUACCCCGGGAGGGGAGUGAAAUAGUACCUGAAACCGUGUGCUUACAAGCCGUUGGAGCCUUUUGGGGUGACAGCGUGCCUUUUGAAGAAUGAGCCUGCGAGUUAGUGUUAUGUCGCGAGGUUAACCCGUGUGGGGUAUCCGUAGCGAAAGCGAGUCUGAAUAGGGCGUUUGAGUGGCAUGAUCUAGACCCGAAGCGGAGUGAUCUAUCCAUGGCCAGGUUGAAGCGACGGUAAGACGUCGUGGAGGACCGAACCCACUUCAGUUGAAAAUGGAGGGGAUGAGCUGUGGAUAGGGGUGAAAGGCCAAUCAAACUCUGUGAUAGCUGGUUCUCCCCGAAAUGCAUUUAGGUGCAGCGUUACGUGUUUCUUGCCGGAGGUAGAGCUACUGGAUGGCCGAUGGGCCUUCACGGGUUACUGACGUCAGCUAAACUCCGAAUGCCGGUAAGUGAGAGCGUAGCAGUGAGACAGUGGGGGAUAAGCUUCAUUGUCGAGAGGGAAACAGCCCAGACCACCAACUAAGGCCCCUAAGCGUGUGCUAAGUGGGAAAGGAUGUGGAGUUGCUUAGACAACCAGGAGGUUGGCUUAGAAGCAGCCACCCUUGAAAGAGUGCGUAAUAGCUCACUGGUCAAGUGAUUCUGCGCCGAUAAUGUAGCGGGGCUCAAGUACACCGCCGAAGUUGUGGCAAUGAUCUUUUUGGAUUGUUGGGUAGGGGAGCGUCGUGUGGCCGUUGAAGCUGCGGUGUAAACCAGUGGUGGAGGCUAUGCGAGUGAGAAUGCAGGCAUGAGUAGCGAAAGAUGAGUGAGAAACUCAUCCGCCGGAUGAUCAAGGGUUCCAGGGUCAAGUUAAUCUGCCCUGGGUUAGUCGGGGCCUAAGGCGAGGCCGACAGGCGUAGUCGAUGGAUAACGGGUUGAUAUUCCCGUACCGGUGAAGAACCGCCCAUACUGAUAUUGUGAUGCUAACCAUGCGAAGCAUGAUGUGCAGGCUUUUGUUUGUGUGUUGUGUGGGUUGUGGGGCCCGAUCUUUGGAGGUAAACGUGUUAACAGGUGUGACGCAGGAAGGUAGCCAAGCCACGCGAUGGUUGUCGUGGUCUAAGCGUGUAGGGUUGUCGGUUGUUAAAUGCGCCGGCUGUGUGCCUGAGACGUGAUGGGACCCUGUUUUUUGGGGGAUUUGGUGAUCCUAUGCUGCCGAGAAAAGCAUCGGCGUGAGGUUUUAGCCGCCCGUACCCUAAACCGACACAGGUGAUCAGGUAGAGAAUACUAAGGCGAUCGAGAGAAUCAUGGUUAAGGAACUCGGCAAAAUGCCCCCGUAACUUCGGGAGAAGGGGGACCUUGAGCGUGAUGGGCACUUGCUGCCUGGAGCGUGUAUGGGUCGCAGAGACCAGGGGGAAGCGACUGUUUAUCAAAAACACAGGUCCGUGCGAAGUCGUAAGACGAUGUAUACGGACUGACUCCUGCCCGGUGCUGGAAGGUUAAGAGGAUUGGUUAGCCUUUGUGGCGAAGCUGAGAAUUUAAGCCCCAGUAAACGGCGGUGGUAACUAUAACCAUCCUAAGGUAGCGAAAUUCCUUGUCGGGUAAGUUCCGACCUGCACGAAUGGAGUAACGACUUCCCUACUGUCUCAACCAUGAACUCGGCGAAAUUGCAGUACGAGUAAAGAUGCUCGUUUCGCGCAGCAGGACGGAAAGACCCCGUGACCUUUACUAUAGUUUGGUAUUGGUGUUUGGUUUGGCUUGUGUAGGAUAGGUGGGAGACUGUGAUGCAUGGACGCUAGUUUGUGUUGAGUCGUUGUUGAAAUACCACUCUGGUCAAUCUGGAUGUCUAACUUCGGGCCAUGAUCUGGUUCAGGGACAGUGCCUGAUGGGUAGUUUAACUGGGGCGGUUGCCUCCCAAAGAGUAACGGAGGCGCCCAAAGG
rnacentral:rRNA from 1 species